UAGUAAAUACAGUUCAAACAAAAGGUAAAAUCGUCAAAUUCAAAAACCAGAGUUGAACCGUUUAAUUGGUCAGGAAUCGGUCGGUCGAAUCAAACCGUAAUCUGGUCGGUUUUUAAAAUUAAGCCAAAAAACGCUGAGUUUUGACUUGGAACCAAAAGAGGAACCCUAGUCUUUCACCCAGACACCCACAGACUCACAGAGCCUCCCCUCCAGCCCUCCACUCUCACCUCUCGCUCUCAGUUCCCACUUCCCAGUCUCCACCUCGAGCUUCCGGCGCAACCUCCGUCCAGCCACUGCUGCCGUCGCAAGGUCUGUGGAAGUCACUCACCGUCGUAAGUUCCUUUCAGCCAGCUUUCCGUUUGCACAGCCAGCUUUCCUUUCAGCCGUGGAAAUCGCAGCCAUCGCUAGCGCCAGUUGCCGUCACAACCUUCCUUCCCUUCCACCGCGCAGCCACCGUGCGGACGUGGAAGCCUCCGUCGCGCAGCCACGUCGCCGCCGACGCUAGCUCUAUUCCACCGCAGCCACUGUCCCGAUCGAAGCUCGUUCGAAGGCGCGCCUUGUCUCCGUAUCUCCAUCUUGCGUGCUUUGUUGAAGAUUUCUUCUAGUUUCUAGCCCCAAUGAGUUCUGCUCACCGCAUCACAGAGCACUAGUUGCGGAACUCUGCCGUCGGUGUGCCGAGGAAGACGACCUUGAACUUCCGCAAUGUUGUCACCAUCGUCUGUCGCCGUCCGUUCUUCUUUGCUAUCGAAGAGAAACUAUAUGAUUUUGCAAGCUACCCUUCUCAGGAGCAUGAUGAAAUGGUUAUUGUUCCAUCUCCUAUAGAGUCUGAUGAACAUUUUGUUCAGAAACCACUUUGAAUGAUUAUUGAUUAUCUCUGCUCACUGAUGUUGUAUUCGUGUUUCUCUACUCUGAAUUUUACUGUAUUGUUGUGCCUUUUGUGCUCAAUGUUUUUAAUUCAAUGAAGUAAUAGAUGAAUUGAAUUAACUCAAUUAACUAGUUAAGUAUAUGAUCAAACAUUUGUUA